rnacentral:rRNA from 1 species
UACGUAGGGUGCGAGCGUUAAUCGGAAUUACUGGGCGUAAAGCGUGCGCAGGCGGUUGUGUAAGUCAGAUGUGAAAUCCCCGGGCUCAACCUGGGAACUGCAUUUGAGACUGCACGGCUAGAGUGUGGCAGAGGGGGGUGGAAUUCCACGUGUAGCAGUGAAAUGCGUAGAGAUGUGGAGGAACACCGAUGGCGAAGGCAGCCCCCUGGGCCAAUACUGACGCUCAUGCACGAAAGCGUGGGGAGCAAACAGGAUUAGAUACCCUGGUAGUCCACGCCCUAAACGAUGUCAACUAGGUGUUGGUGGGGUUAAACCCAUUAGUGCCGUAGCUAACGCGUGAAGUUGACCGCCUGGGGAGUACGGCCGCAAGGCUAAA